GAUGAACGCUAGCUACAGGCUUAACACAUGCAAGUCGAGGGGCAGCGGUAUCGAAAGCUUGCUUUCGGUAGCCGGCGACCGGCGCACGGGUGAGUAACGCGUAUCGAACCUGCCUCAUACUCGGGAAUAGCCUUGCGCACGUAAGAUUAAUGCCUGGUGUUUUCAGAGUCCCUCAUGAGGCGUUGAACAAUGAUUUAUCGGUAUGAGAUGGCGCUGCGUCCCAUUAGCUUGUUGGCGGGGUAACGGCCCACCAAGGCAUCGAUGGGUAGGGGUUCUGAGAGGAAGGUCCACCACAUUGGAACUGAGACACGGUCCAAACUACUACGGGAGGCAGCAGUGAGGAAUAUUGGUCAAUGGGCGGAAGCCUGAACCAGCCAAGUAGCGUGCAGGAAGACGGCCCUCCGGGUUGUAAACUGCUUUUAGUUGGGAAGAAAACGGGGCUCGUGAGCCCCCUUGCAUGUACCAUCAGAAAAAGGACCGGCUAAGUCCGUG
rnacentral:rRNA from 1 species